CGAGUUGUAGCUGGCCUUCCGAGGCAUGUGCACGCUCUGCUCAUCCACUCUACCCCUGUGCACUUACUGUAGGUUGGCGUGGGCUCCUUUGCGGGAGCAUUCUGCCGGCCUAUGUAUACUACAAACACUUUAAAGUAUCAGAAUGUAAACGCGUCUAACGCAUCUAUAAUACAACUUUUAGCAACGGAUCUCUUGGCUCUCGCAUCGAUGAAGAACGCAGCGAAAUGCGAUAAGUAAUGUGAAUUGCAGAAUUCAGUGAAUCAUCGAAUCUUUGAACGCACCUUGCGCUCCUUGGUAUUCCGAGGAGCAUGCCUGUUUGAGUGUCAUGGAAUUCUCAACUUAUAAAUCCUUGUGAUCUAUAAGCUUGGACUUGGAGGCUUGCUGGCCCUUGCGGUCGGCUCCUCUUGAAUGCAUUAGCUUGAUUCCGUACGGAUCGGCUCUCAGUGUGAUAAUUGUCUACGCUGUGACCGUGAAGUGUUUUGGCAAGCUUCUAACCGUCCAUUAGGACAACUUUUUAACAUCUGACCUCAAAUCAGGUAGGACUACCCGCUGAACUUAAGCAUAUCAUAGCCGGGAAGGAAAAA
rnacentral:rRNA from 1 species